GGAUUCUGGAGUGGCCAGUUAAGCUGUGCACACGGUGGACCCUAUCAGGUAUCUGCUGUCAUCUUGCCCAGCUUGGAGCUAAGAGCUCUGUGUGUGUUUGUAUGAGCAGUGAACAGUAUGGAACAUGUAGAAGGAGUGGACAGGAAGGACCAGAGAGGUGUUUGUGGAAUGGAGCCCUGCGCAGGAGUGUGAGGAAGCCAACCGCCAGGCCACUGCUAUCCAGGACUCCACUGCCUGGGAUCAGCCUUCUCUACACACAUGGAGCCCCUGGGGAUAGGUCUCACCUUGCUGGUAAUGAUGCAGACCCAGGCCCAAGGCCCAAGAAGGCAUGAAGGGCUUCCUCAAGCCCUGCUGCCCAACAUACCUUUCCACAAGAUCUGUCUUCUGCCCAGCCUUGGGAAGGAGAUAGUAACUAUGAACCCUGGCCAGGCAGGCCCAGUUCCCAUGGGUAGAAACAAGAAACGGGGAGCUCAGCCCAAUGGCAUCCCGGCGCAGACUUCACAUUCCCCGGUGGCCCUCAAGACCGUCCAGGACCCUGGCAUAUGAACACUGGGUCAGCUGAGCCAGGACCUCCUCAGAGACUGGGAAGGCUAGAAGGCUGUCAGAGUUGACUGACUAUGGAAGGCUCGGCUCUCAUCGCAUCCCAACUAGACCCACAAUGUCCCUGCUCACUCAGCCCCAACACAAUAAAUGCCUGUGACAGAGGAA
rnacentral:lncRNA from 1 species